rnacentral:rRNA from 1 species
AUUGAACGCUGGCGGCAGGCCUAACACAUGCAAGUCGAACGAGUGGCGGACGGGUGAGUAAUGUCUGGGAAACUGCCUGAUGGAGGGGGAUAACUACUGGAAACGGUAGCUAAUACCGCAUACCAUCGGAUGUGCCCAGAUGGGAUUAGCUUGUUAGUGGGGUAACGGCUCACCAAGGCGACGAUCCCUAGCUGGUCUGAGAGGAUGACCAGCCACACUGGAACUGAGGCACGGUCCAGACUCCUACGGGAGGCAGCAGUGGGGAAUAGUGCACAAUGGGCGCAAGCCAGAUGCAGCCGUGCCGCGUGUAUGAAGAAGGCCCUAGGGUUGUAAAGUACUUUCAGUCGGGAGGCGUUGCCGACAGAAGAAGCACCGGCUAACUCCGUGCCAGCAGCCGCGGUAAUUC